rnacentral:rRNA from 1 species
GACAGAGGGUGCAAACGUUGUUCGGAAUUACUGGGCGUAAAGCGUGUGUAGGCGGCCACGUAAGUCGGAUGUGAAAGCCCCAGGCUCAACCUGGGAAGUGCACUCGAUACUGCGUGGCUUGAGUAUCGGAGAGGUUGGUGGAAUUCUCGGUGUAGAGGUGAAAUGCGUAGAUAUCGUGAGGUACACCAGAGGCGAAGGCGGCUACCUGGACAAUUGCUGACGCUCAGGCACGAAAGCGUGGGGAGCAAAAGGG